UAGCCUUGUGGUUAAGGCUAUGGAUCGCCAAUCCGGAGACGGUGGGUUCGAUUCCCAU
rnacentral:tRNA from 1 species